rnacentral:rRNA from 1 species
GACCCGUCUUGAAACACGGACCAAGAAGUUUAUCAUAUAUGCAAGUCAAUGGGUAGUACACCCAAAGGCGUAAUGAAAGUAAUUUAUUACUUUUUCGUGUGAUAGUUGUUUACAACUCGCAACACGGAUAUGAAUAUAAAGUUUACUUUUAUUCAUAAUCUGAGCAUAUAUGAUAAGACCCGAAAGAUGGUGAUCUAUACACGAGCAGUAUGAAGUCAAAGGAAACUUUGAUGGAAGUACGUAACGGUUUUGACGUGCAAAUCGAUCGUUAGACUUGUGUAUAGGGGCGAAAGACUAAUCGAACCAUCUAG